rnacentral:rRNA from 1 species
GAUGAACGCUGGCGGCGUGCCUAAUACAUGCAAGUCGAGCGAACGGACGAGAGGCUUGCUUCUCUGAUGUUAGCGGCGGACGGGUGAGUAACACGUGGAUAACCUACCUAUAAGACUGGGAUAACCUCGGGAAACCGGAGCUAAUACCGGAUGAUAUUUUGAACCGCAUGGUUCAAAAGUGAAAGACGGUCUUGCUGUCACUUAUAGAUGGAUCCGCGCUGCAUUAGCUAGUUGGUAAGGUAACGGCUUACCAAGGCAACGAUGCAUAGCCGACCUGAGAGGGUGAUCGGCCACACCGGAACUGAGACACGGUCCAGACUCCUACGGGAGGCAGCAGUAGGGAAUCUUCCGCAAUGGGCGAAAGCCUGACGGAGCAACGCCGCGUGAGUGAUGAAGGUCUUCGGAUCGUAAAACUCUGUUAUUAGGGAAGAACAUAUGUGUAAGUAACUGUGCACAUCUUGACGGUACCUAAUCAGAAAGCCACGGCUAACUACGUG